UGGGGAAUAUUGCACAAUGGGGGAAACCCUGAUGCAGCAACGCCGCGUGAGUGAUGAAGGUUUUCGGAUCGUAAAGCUCUGUCUUUGGGGAAGAUAAUGACGGUACCCAAGGAGGAAGCCACGGCUAACUACGUGCCAGCAGCCGCGGUAAUACGUAGGUGGCAAGCGUUAUCCGGAUUUACUGGGCGUAAAGGGAGCGUAGGCGGAUAAUUAAGUGGGAUGUGAAAUACCCGGGCUCAACCUGGGUGCUGCAUUCCAAACUGGUUAUCUAGAGUGCAGGAGAGGAGAGUGGAAUUCCUAGUGUAGCGGUGAAAUGCGUAGAGAUUAGGAAGAACACCAGUGGCGAAGGCGACUCUCUGGACUGUAACUGACGCUGAGGCUCGAAAGCGUGGGGAGCAAACA
rnacentral:rRNA from 1 species